CUAUUGCAGACAAAUACCCCCUGGGUCAUUGCUCCCACUCUUUAUGGACUCUAUAACUGAAAGUAAACUGAGCUGCUAGAGCCAUGAGGAGGGGGAAUUGGCAGGUGAGAGAUACCUCCAGGCAAGAUAAGAUGACGGCUACGUGGGGUCUCACCAACACUGGACUUUGUCGUAUGCCCAGAUGCCACGUAAGCGAAGCUUCCAGGCACCCGGCGUUUCCACAGCCAAAUUGCCUCCAGCCCUUAAAUCCAGCAUCCCAGCCAAUGCCCACUUCCUGCUUCCUCCCCAGCCGCGACAUCCACUUCCUGUCAUUCUUCCACCACCAAGCAAAAUCAGAUUGCCACGAUUAUGCUUUUCCUUGGAAUAACUGCCCUGCAGGACAAAUGAGAAGAUGUAGGGAUAUUUGUUCUGCCCCUGGCUUAGAUUGCCUUUCUCUGACUUUUUAAAACAGAUUUUAUAGCUCUUCCCCCCUCCACCCCCAUUUACCUUGGCUACAUCAUGUUAACGUUCAAUGAGUAAUUUGCACAACCAUCUUCCUGACAAUAUUGCUUCUAUAAUAUUUAUGAAGAUUAUUUUGCAGGAGUGUUUAAACUUUUCAGAUUCAUUUUUGAAGAAGAGAGGAAAUGUAACUUUGUUUUUUAAAAAAUCAAUCAAAACUGAGUGGCAGAUGGAAGCCAAUCAGUUCUAAAUAGCUGCAUUUUCUCCUAUGAAGGUGUUGGCCCUUUUUGGAUGUGAGAAGAAAUGUUUUCCUCCUAUAUAAAUUGGCUCAGAGGUCUAUCAUUUUUUCCAGAUUCCUCGUUAGUUGGUAGGUGGAAGGGCUUCCUUGAACCAUCUGGAAUUGUUCCUUUACUUCAAAAUCGC